AAUAAAGCCCAACCCAUUCUAUUUUCUAGGGUUUACGAGUCACUAUAAAAUCCCGAAACCCAUCUUGACUCUCUUCCUAAUCGCAGUUACUUCUGCCCAGUCUCAUCUAGGGUUUUUUCUCAACAAAGUUCUCUUCCGUUUUCAACAACCAUGAGAGCCAAGUGGAAGAAGAAGCGUAUGAGGAGAUUGAAGAGGAAGCGCCGAAAGAUGAGACAGAGAUCUAAGUAGUGUGUGUUUUCAGACAUCAUUGAUCGAUCUUAGUUUUGUUUUUCCUUUCCUUGUUGUUUUUUAAAUCAGACCUAAGAGAGUAGUAUCGGAUUUUCUCUCUCGUUUUGCUGUUAUGAUAUUUUGUUUUUGUAUUAACUCAAUGAUAUUGUUCUUUAUGGAAUUCAGUAGUUUUAAUAUUUGAAUGGUUUAUGAUCUUUUGAUA